rnacentral:snoRNA from 1 species
UCUCCUGAUGAUAUAAUUUGCGAUUGAACCCAUUCUCGGAGACUCUCGCCGGAGUCUCUCAACGGGUUUGGAGUGUUGAUAUUCAUUUCUUACAUAUGCUGAAC